GAUGAACGCUGGCGGCGUGCCUAAUACAUGCAAGUCGAGCGAAUGGAUUAAGAGCUUGCUCUUAUGAAGUUAGCGGCGGACGGGUGAGUAACACGUGGGUAACCUGCCCAUAAGACUGGGAUAACUCCGGGAAACCGGGGCUAAUACCGGAUAACAUUUUGAACCGCAUGGUUCGAAAUUGAAAGGCGGCUUCGGCUGUCACUUAUGGAUGGACCCGCGUCACAUUAGCUAGUUGGUGAGGUAACGGCUCACCAAGGCAACGAUGCGUAGCCGACCUGAGAGGGUGAUCGGCCACACUGGGACUGAGACACGGCCCAGACUCCUACGGGAGGCAGCAGUAGGGAAUCUUCCGCAAUGGACGAACGUCUGACGGAGCAACGCCGCGUGAGUGAUGAAGGCUUUCGGGUCGUAAAACUCUGUUGUUAGGGAAGAACAAGUGCUAGUUGAAUAAGCUGGCACCUUGGCGGUACCUAACUAGAAAGCCACGGCUAACUACGUGCCAGCCGCCGCCGUAA
rnacentral:rRNA from 1 species